UUGUGUACCGGAGGACGAAGAAAGAAGAAAGAAAUGGAUAAUUUCAAUGAAAAGGAUUGCUGGAUGCCAAUCGACUGUGGCAGCCAUCUUACCAUGACAGAAUUUGAAGUCUACACUUCAUCUCCGGUUGCCUGGGGGUGCUGCUGCUCCUGCACUUCACUGAUGACCUACCUCUGUGCUGCGCGUACAGCUGCCCCGGGGAGAUGCCUCCUGACCGUCUGCCUGGGACUGUUGCAGCCCUCCGGAGCCGGGCCCACCUGUCCUUAGCUGCUGUGUGUUUCUCGCCUUCUACCGUUCUCCCCACUUUUGCUCCGCACACCUCCUGGAAUAAAAGGAAGCAGUGGAGAUAUUUCAGACCCUGGGAGUCCUGACAGCUCCCAGUCCAGAUCUGGCCAGCCGGGUCCAUGUCUUCUCAUACCAGCAGCAUGUGACUGUGACGCAAAUACUUCUGCCUCUGGUGAGCCAGAGCUGCAAGGCCGACGUCCCAUCAAGCCUCUUCCCUCCUCCUCUACCACAGCAUGGU